rnacentral:rRNA from 1 species
GACGAACGCUGGCGGCGUGCUUAACACAUGCAAGUCGAACGGUGAAGCGCCUUCCUUUUUGGUGGGUGUGGAUGAGUGGCGAACGGGUGAGUAACACGUGAGUAACCUGCCCCCUUCUUCUGGAUAACCGCAUGAAAGUGUGGCUAAUACGGGAUAUUCUGGGUCUGUCGCAUGAUGGGUCUGGGAAAGAUAUUGUUUCGGUGGGGGAUGGGCUCGCGGCCUAUCAGCUUGUUGGUGGGGUGAUGGCCUACCAAGGCGGUGACGGGUAGCCGGCCUGAGAGGGUGGACGGUCACACUGGGGCUGCGACACGGCCCAGACUCCUACGGGAGGCAGCAGUGGGGAAUAUUGCACGAUGGGCGCAAGCCUGAUGCAGCGACGCCGCGUGAGGGAUGGAGGCCUUCGGGUUGUGAACCUCUUUCGCCAGUGAAGCAGGCCUGCCUCGUUUGUGGGUGGGUUGACGGUAGCUGGAUAAGAAGCGCCGGCUAACUACGUG